rnacentral:lncRNA from 1 species
AAGAAAAAAAAAUUAUUUUGCAUUAAAAUACAAAUUUUGGUGGGAAAAUGGUGAAAUUGGUUGAAAUGUCAUUUUGAGCCUUUUACAGUUUCACAUAAGAACAUUAAUAUUUUUUAGUAACCUAACUACCCUAACUACAAUGAUUUAACAUUUCUAAUCAAUCAAAAUAUUUUUAAAAAUGAAAUGGAAUAUAUGACACAUACUCUUUGUGUGCAUUGUAAUUCAUGCGUGAAAUUAUGCGUAGUAGAAAAGUCCCAAUCCACCUUAAUACUUAUCACUUUGGUUCAAUUUCAAAACUCAGCUCAUCAUAUUCUAUUCACUAAAAGUUGAGCAUGAACUUUUUCUCUAUUCUAUUAGUUGUUGACAAUAGAAAACCUUUUAAUUUUUUAAAUACCACUCAUAUUCUAAAUCAAAUCUGUCCAUCUAUACUAUCAAGCACUUUGAUUUAUUUAAAUCAUGCUUCAAUAGGUCUUAAAAUAAAAAUGUAUAUCAGGUUCUAUAAUCUAGACAUAUACAGAAGGAAAAGAAUUACAACUAUAAUGAUAUUCAAGUAUAAAUAUUCAGAGCAACACAUAAAUUUGGUUUUAAAUCAUAAAAUACACAGGAAAAUUAUCAUUCAAUAAUCUUAUAUGUUUAUAUUUUUAAAAGCUUAAUUGUCCUGCAUAUGCAUGAAUUAUUUUUAACUGGACAUCAAGCUUGCAGCAAUUAAUCAAAUAUUUAAAAUGAAAAGGCUGUAAUGGACAUUAUUCAGCUUGGCAAAAUAUCACAAUUUAAUCAAUUUUUUACUUGAUAAUGAAUGUACAAUGACAUUUCUUGUGCUCUUUGAAAUUUUAAUAGAAGGCAUACUGACUAGGUCAGACUUGAUGGUUGUUCAUAUAUACGAUUUUUAUCUAUUUUAAAGUCAGUAAAAUCUUUAUAUCAAGCUUUAGAUGGUAUAUGAUUUUAUAUUUUACCAUUUUUCAUUUACAUGAGGUUGUGUUUAAGUUUGAUAAUCAAAUUUUUGUACAGAUUGAUAGGUUUAAAUGUUGAUUUUUAUUUUCCAGAUUUUAGAAUUGUUAACAUAUCAUAUCAUUUGAUCAUUUUUCAGUUGUUAUAUCAAGAUU